CCGCCCGCUGCUGCCACCGGGCCGCCUCGCCCCCGCGCCAGCCCGCCUGGGCCUCUGCGCCGCCGGCGGCUUCUUAAAUACAGGAAAGGGAGGGGACCGCAGGGCCCCGGUGUUCCCCACCCUAGUCCCCCUUCACCACGGGCCACCGGGCGCCAGCGGAGUGGGCAGCGAGCGCGACCGAAAGUUCCAACUCCACCAAACUCCCGCGCGCGGCCCACCCUUUCCCGGGAUUUCGGGGAUGACACGGGGGCCAGUGGUCCUGUCUGGUGUGAACCGUCAGCACAGAUGGCCUCCUGGAGCUUCCCCGAGUCGUUCGCUGGGGGAAGCGGGCGGAUUAAGGAGUUUGGGGAAGUCGCAGAGCUGCAGCGGAAAGGCAGGGGUCUGAGACUACUUUUGAGAAGAGAAACAACGCAAAACGAUCGCUGGAGGGCCAGAGCCCUGGUCGAAGGUGCCCUAGCUUUUAUGACCUGGUUAAUUGUGUCUCCUUUUUAUUUUUAUUUUUUUCCUUACCACUACUACUACUACUACUUUUAUUUUUUUUUAACCGAUACACUUUGGAGAGAAGAAGCAGACACAGGUUCCCACGGCGUCUGACGCCUGCGGAGCAAGUCCAGAGCCAGCUGGACUCGCAGCCUCUGGCCCGGCGGCACCAACUCCUCACUGGGUCAUUUUGAGCGCGCUGUGCCCACCUUUUCUGUUGCGUGUGGACGUGGGGAGGAUCUUCUAAGUCCCUCCAACGAAGGCAAGUGUGAGACUCUGGCCCUUUAUUUGUAAGAAGCAAGCCUUCAGAUUGCAGAAGUGUCGCGCGGGUCGCCGUGCGUUGCGCGAGUGGGAAGAUGGAGGAGGCCGGCACGCUGCUUUCGUGGACGCAAGUGAACCGGGCGUGAAGGCAGGGUGCGAGCUCUGCCCUUGGCCCAGCCCUGCGUGGGCGCCGUCCCAGAUUCCGGGCGGUGCGGGGUGCAGAGAUCUGGAGAGACUUGCGGGCUCCCCAGCGCAGGCUGCUCUGGGAUUUCGUUGGAAGAUCCGGCAGAGCCUUGGAGGAGAGGGCCCGGGAGGCUGUGUGUGCAGCGGAAACUUGUACGAAUGCCCCCACAGCGGAAAUGGUGCGCACGAGUAAUUUCUGCGGUGCACCCUUUUAAAAAUUGACAAGUGAACAAGAUCAAUUUUUUAAGAAAGCAAAGGUAGAAAACAAAAGGCGUGCGACUUCUUGACUGGCUUGUUCCCGCCUUUCUUCCUUCUCUAUACUCAGAUCAGAAACUUUUCUUUAAUUGCUCUUAUUCAGUGCGACAACUUUUAAUAAAAGCAUUUGCAUUUUAAGCCUGAGUUGCAACCAUAGAUUUAUUGCGAAGUGACAACGUGUCUAUGGAAUAUUUUCGCAGAUGAGACAGGACAUGCGCUCUAGUCGUGCCCAGAUUAAAGCGACGCUGGGCCAUGUGCCUGUGUAGUGCAGACUCGGAGGGGCACACACAUACUCGUCACCACAUGACCACUGUCUAUUAAUAUUGUCAUACCUAAACACUCGCAAAAACAAAAGUUGCUUUUCUUCCCUGUAAUUAAAUCUAAUUUGUUAAUUGUCUUUCCUCUUGCAAUGUUGUUUUCAUCUUGAGGUGACACAUUAUUAUUUUG
rnacentral:lncRNA from 1 species